GAGAUAAAUUAUGUACAGCUACAAGGUCCCUGUAAUAAAAGUGAUCAUUGUGUGUAUGUGUGUGUGUGUGUAUAUAUAUAUAUAUAUAUAUA
rnacentral:miRNA from 1 species